rnacentral:lncRNA from 1 species
CUCCACCCUUCACUCGCCUCAUUGUGCCCAGGCAGCACCAAGGUCAGAAAUUAAUUGGAGACACUGCAAAACACACAGCCUGUAAUAUUUCAGUUCAGUGAGGUCACAAGAAAAACUCAGUUAAAGCCUUAUUAGAGCAGUUUACAGGAGCACAUUACUGCGAAUAUGAAAUGAGAGUCUUGUCUUGAUGGAUGCGUCACCUACCCAAGAUAUUUGUUGAGAAUAAUUUGAAAAUCACCCCCGUACAUGGUUGUAUAUUCUUCGUUGUGGGUCCUUCUAGUUGUGGCAUGUGGGACGCUGCCUCAGCGUGGUUUGACGAGCAGUGCCAUGUCCGCGCCCAGGAUUCGAACCAACGAAACACUGGGCCGCCUGCAGCGGAGCGCGCGAACUUAACCACUCGGCCACGGGGCCAGCCCCUGCAAUUAAUAUUUUUAUCCGACUAAAAUCCUCAACUUGGGAUCAGACGAGGGUCUAGCAUGAAAAAGGGGCCUGAUCUCAAGAGGCCCAAGAAUCCUCUACCUACGGCUGGCAGAUGAAGAAAAGAAAUCGGAGGAGGCACACUGUCUACAGGUGGAAAGUGGCAAAUUCAGGAUUCCAACCUUCAUUUUCUCACUUCAACGCCACCACUCCUAACCACCAUCCUGUACAAUGCCCCUAUCGCCAUGGCCUGGGGCCAAGACAUGGCUGAUGAAUGGUGUAGUUCUGCACCUGGGAUCCGAACCUGCAAACCCCGGGGCCACCAAAGUGGAGUGCAAGGAAAUCUAACCACUUGGCCAUGGGGCCAUCCUCAACAGCACAUAUCUUUUAAUAGAUGAAAUUUAAUUUGAAGCAAGGCAUGGUUCUUUCUCCAUCCCAACUCUGACUGGGCAGCAUGCCAUCAUCCUGGGGCAGCCGCCACCAAUGUACUCGUCUG